rnacentral:rRNA from 1 species
AGUGAACGCUGGCGGUAGGCCUAACACAUGCAAGUCGAACGGCAGCACAGUAAGAGCUUGCUCUUACGGGUGGCGAGUGGCGGACGGGUGAGGAAUACAUCGGAAUCUACUUUUUCGUGGGGGAUAACGUAGGGAAACUUACGCUAAUACCGCAUACGACCUACGGGUGAAAGCAGGGGAUCUUCGGACCUUGCGCGAUUGAAUGAGCCGAUGUCGGAUUAGCUAGUUGGCGGGGUAAAGGCCCACCAAGGCGACAAUCCGUAGCGGGUCUGAGAGGAUGAUCAGCCACACUGGAACUGAGACACGGUCCAGACUCCUACGGGAGGCAGCAGUGGGGAAUAUUGGACAAUGGGCGCAAGCCUGAUCCAGCCAUACCGCGUGGGUGAAGAAGGCCUUCGGGUUGUAAAGCCCUUUUGUUGGGAAAGAAAAGCAGCAGGUUAAUACCUCGCUGUUCUGACGGUACCCAAAGAAUAAGCACCGGCUAACUUCGUG